AUACGUAGGGAGCGAGCGUUGUCCGGAAUUACUGGGUGUAAAGGGAGCGUAGGCGGGAGUGCAAGUCAGAUGUGAAAUACAUGGGCUCAACCCAUGGGCUGCAUUUGAAACUGCAUUUCUUGAGUGAAGUAGAGGUAAGCGGAAUUCCUGGUGUAGCGGUGAAAUGCGUAGAUAUCAGGAGGAACACCGGUGGCGAAGGCGGCUUACUGGGCUUUUACUGACGCUGAGGCUCGAAAGCGUGGGGAGCAAACAGGAUUAGAUACCCUGGUAGUCCACGCUGUAAACGAUGAUUACUAGGUGUGGGGGGACUGACCCCUCCCGUGCCGCAGUUAACACAAUAAGUAAUCCACCUGGGGAGUACGGCCGCAAGGUUGAAACUCAAAUGAAUUGGCGGGG
rnacentral:rRNA from 1 species